AGUUGAUACUUCAAGGACAAAAAGAAACAAAAUGGAAAAGAAUUGAAAAAUGACGCAAGAACUAAAUUUUCACAUCAUUACUUAACAAACUACUCUUCUUGACAGAGUAAACAAGGAGAUCAAGUCACACUAUUGGACCCCAUUUGCAAAUUUGUUUAUAUUGAAUUUGAAGACAGUACAAACUAGGGUACACUUAUUAGCUAUGUUAUCAAAUACAUGAAGAGGAUCUUGUGCAUAAAUUCCCCUUCGUUUCGAU
rnacentral:misc_RNA from 1 species